rnacentral:rRNA from 1 species
AACAAACGCUGGCGGCGUGCCUGACACAUGCAAGUCGUACGAGAAAGGGUCCUUCGGGGCCUGAGUAAAGUGGCGCACGGGUGAGUAACGCGUGGAUAAUCUGCCCUUCAGUUGGGAAUAACUCAUCGAAAGGUGGGCUAAUACCGAAUAAUGCUGUGAGACCUCGGUUGAUCAGCCAAAGAGAGCCUCUGCUUGCAAGCCCUCGCUGAAGGAUGAGUCCGCGUACCAUUAGCUAGUUGGUAGGGUAAUGGCCUACCAAGGCGACGAUGGUUAGCUGGGCUGAGAGGAUGAUCAGCCACACUGGAACUGAGACACGGUCCAGACUCCUACGGGAGGCAGCAGUGGGGAAUUUUGGACAAUGGGGGCAACCCUGACUCAGCAAUGCCGCGUGUGUGAAGAAGGCCUUCGGGUUGUAAAGCACUUUUGUCCGGAAAGAAAUCGCACUUACUAAUAUUAGGUGUGGAUGACGGUACCGGAAGAAUAAGGACCGGCUAACUACGUGCCAGCCGCCGCAGUAACAC